CCCCUCUCAGGGUUGCACCUGGAGAGUUUCCAGUAGUCUACCAGUCUCGGCUUUGGGAGGAAGAGUCAAGCAGAGCCCUACCCAUUCCAGUCUUAGCUUGGGCAGUAGCUAGUGAGUGGAAAGCAAUCUGCUACAAGU